AGUGGCAACGUGGAACAUAAUCUCACGUCCAUGGAAGGAGGUGAAAACUGCUUCAUUUCCUGUCUGGCCAUGAGACACAUCCAGACCUCCCCUGAAACUAGGAGAUGGAAAAUGAUGAUGUCCUUUUGACAGCUCUCCAGACCAAAGCCCCCCUGUGAGAGAGUAGGACUGGUCUCCACAUGUCUAUCCAGGGGAGGGUCGAUCCAAUAACCUCCAGAUUUAGGGGGCAGGAUGAGAGGUGAAGAACGUGGAGAGAGAGAAAGACGAUGUUACCUGUAGCUUUUCAAUGAUUGCAAACAACUCCGUGACCUGCAGAGAAAUGACAAGGGAAUGACAGAAACAGUGAAAGUCUCAAAUAAUGCACCCUACAAGAACAGAUCUCUUACCUUCUGACUGGACGGUGCAGAAGUGAGUGGCUUAGCCUCACUGGAGGGGGAAUCCAAAAUAUCCAGUAUGCUGUGACCCAC